CCGGGAACCCCGAACAUCCCCUUUCUCUACUCUUUCCCUUUGGAGUCUAUAGAGGGAGAAGCAGAGCCUAAGGCUUCAUCAGUUUGAAUACUGGCUGGGGCUGGGCAAGUUAGUGGCUCAAAGUGUUGAAUCUGUCCCUAAAGCAGGGACAGAAAUGGAGGCUCAGGAGGUAGAGGUGGCAGUGGGCGUGCAGGAGAAGCUGUAGGUCAGGAGGUAGAGGUGGCAGUGGGCGUGCAGGAGAAGCUGAGGUCGGGAGGUAGAGGUGGCAGUGGGCGUGCAGGAGAAGCUGUAGGUCGGAAGGUAGAAGUGGCAGUGGGCGUGCAGGAGAAGCUGUAGGUCGGGAGGUAGAGGUGGCAGUGGGCGUGCAGGAGAAGCUGUAGGUCAGGGGGUAGAGGUGGCAGUGGGCGUGCAGGAGAAGUGUAGGUCAGGGGGCAGAGGUGGCAGUGGGCGUGCAGGAGAAGCUGUAGGUCGGAGAGGGUGCAGAGUGGAGAACAGAUGAGCUGGAGUCACACCAUGCCCUAUACCCAGCCAGAGGCCGAAGUGAGCCUGUCACGGUAAUGCCACUGCCUGCUUGAUUCCCUCCCAUGCCUAGCCUGGGUUCUUCAUGAUCCCUGAGGCCCUCUUUGAUGUCAUCCCGCUGCCUCAAAACCUGUGUGUGCUGGUGGCUCCCUCUGCUUUCCUUCCAGAUGACUCCUUCGCUUCAGCUCAAAUGUCACCUUUGGCUGUUAAAAUCCUUUCCGGAGGAAGUUGUAAACAAUGCCUACCCCUCCUCCCGAGGUCUCUGAUUCCACUCCAGGGAAGAUUGCUCUGGGGGAGCCAAUGAGUUUGUUGGGAUUACUUCCAGAGCAUAGGUGAGGGGUUAGUUACUUGAAUAUGAGUGCUGCCCACCAAAAGACCGCACUGAAAAGUCUUUACCCAGCAGGGGUGAUGGU
rnacentral:lncRNA from 1 species